GAUGAACGCUGGCGGCGUGCCUAAUACAUGCAAGUCGAGCGAACAGACGAGGAGCUUGCUCCUUUGACGUUAGCGGCGGACGGGUGAGUAACACGUGGGUAACCUACCUAUAAGACUGGGAUAACUUCGGGAAACCGGAGCUAAUACCGGACAAUAUUUCGAACCGCAUGGUUCGAUAGUGAAAGAUGGCUCUGCUAUCACUUAUAGAUGGACCUGCGCCGUAUUAGCUAGUUGGUAAGGUAACGGCUUACCAGGGCAACGAUACGUAGCCGACCUGAGAGGGUGAUCGGCCACACUGGAACUGAGACACGGUCCAGACUCCUACGGGAGGCAGCAGUAGGGAAUCUUCCGCAAUGGGCGAAAGCCUGACGGAGCAACGCCGCGUGAGUGAUGAAGGUCUUCGGAUCGUAAAACUCUGUUAUUAGGGAAGAACAAACGUGUAAGUAACUGUGCACGUCUUGACGGUACCUAAUCAGAAAGCCACGGCUAACUACGUGCCAGCCGCCGCGGUAA
rnacentral:rRNA from 1 species